UACCGCCUGGAAAUCCUGCGCUGGCUGC
rnacentral:piRNA from 1 species